GAGCUCGUGGCGCAACGUAGCGCGUCUGACUCCAGAUCAGAAGGUUGCGUGUCUCGAAAUCACGUCCGGGCUCA
rnacentral:tRNA from 1 species